rnacentral:rRNA from 1 species
GUGGGGAAUCUUCCGCAAUGGACGAAAGUCUGACGGAGCAACGCCGCGUGAACGAUGACGGCCUUCGGGUUGUAAAGUUCUGUUAUACGGGACGAAUGGUACGACGGCCAAUACCCGUCGUAAGUGACGGUACCGUAAGAGAAAGCCACGGCUAACUACGUGCCAGCAGCCGCGGUAAUACGUAGGUGGCAAGCGUUGUCCGGAAUUAUUGGGCGUAAAGGGCGCUCAGGCGGCGUCGUAAGUCGGUCUUAAAAGUGCGGGGCUUAACCCCGUGAGGGGACCGAAACUGCGAUGCUAGAGUAUCGGAGAGGAAAGCGGAAUUCCUAGUGUAGCGGUGAAAUGCGUAGAUAUUAGGAGGAACACCAGUGGCGAAAGCGGCUUUCUGGACGACAACUGACGCUGAGGCGCGAAAGCCAGGGGAGCAAACGGGAUUAGAUACCCGAGUAGUCC